AAAAAAAAAAACCAAAACCGAAAAACCAAAACCAGCCGUCGAAAAGAAACUUCUGCUUUUCGGGGAAAUUCUCGAAAUUCAAUGAAACCUCUGCCCGACGCCGAAACUGGAUGUAUGAGCAGAGGCUACGUUUUCACGGAUACCUUGUCGCGGAAUCCUACACCGGGCGCGCACAGACCCCGCUGUUAUUUAACAACAUUUCCCCUUUGCUUGGAGGGGAAAACCCUCCAAAAGGGAAAGAGUUUCGUUCCCAGUGUUUUCAACUGAGAGGAGACGGAAAACGAGAGGUGAGAACAAGCCCGUCCACCCCAAAACAAACUCUUUUCCUCCCAUCCACCCCAAAACAAAAACACUUCUGGCAUCUCCCUUUCUCGGGUGGGUGCCCCGUGCCUGGGUGGCCUCGGGAUCAAGCCCGAGCCCCCAAGGGAGGGGAUCCAACACCUUUUUUUGGGGCAAUUCCGCAUCUUCCAGGCGUGGGGGCGGCACCGCUCCCUUCCCAUCCCUGCCCCUCCCGGGAUCCCAAGGAAUUCCCAGGGCCGCUCCAGCCGCUCUUUCCAGGCACAGGCAGCACGACGGGGGUUGCCAUCAUCCCCUGAAAAUGUCCCUAAAAGCGCCACUUUUGCCCCCAAAAACCUGGCAGCGCGAUUUUGGUGUUGGCGGAGUUUUCCUGCUUUAUUUUUCUUUUUUCCCUCGGUGGAGGUUGGGGUAGGAAAUUGGGGCAGCGGAGCCGAGCACAGAGCGGGGCUUAACUUUUAUUCUGAUGUGCUUAGCUGAAGCAUGAACUGCGAGAAAUCCCACCGAGCUCCUCAGGAAAGAAAACACCGUCAGGCAUUCGAACAUUUCCAGGCUGCGCCAUCCGCACUCACCGCUCCCAGCGCCGAUGGUCCCCGGAGGAAUCGCCCGGAUUUUAUUUUUAUUUUGUUUUUGCCCCGUAACCAGCGCUCCCAAGCGUGGCUGUGCACACACACACACACACGCAAAUCCUAUAAAUGCUAAUAAAACAGAUUCCUCGGGAUUUGUUCGACCAUCCCGUGUUGAUGUUCACCGGUGGUACCCGAGGAUUGCCGGGGAUGUGGAAGAUUUUGGGAUCGACCUUCUGGGGUGUGCCGCGUCCCUUCAGGCAAGGUGGGAGCCGUAAACAUCGGGAAUAGGAUGGAUUCGAGCUGAACACUUGAAAGGGGGAAAAAAGGAAGUGGAAUCUCGGCGCUGGAAUGAUGAAACUCUGCAGAACGGAGGCCUCCGGCUGCAGGGGAUCGUUUUCAGCUCCUUUCUGGAAGCUGUAUCGCUGCUAUUGUCCGACCUUUGCCGGCCACAUGGGACGCGUUUGGCAAUAGGACAGAAAAUUAUUUCUACUGGGCAUGAACUGGAAAUAUCCAGCUGGGGCAUGGAUCCCAUUUCUAAUCAGGGUGGAGGGAAGGAAAUCUCCAGGCUCUUUCUUGUUGUUGCUCAGACAGCAUUUGGGGGGAAGUUGUCAAAAGCUCCUAUCCAGAAAAAAUACGGCUGUUUAAAAAUGAAAUAAGGAUUGUGUUUUUUUUUUUUUUUAACCCUCCAAACGUGUAAAUGUGGGGUUUUAUUUUGCUGUCCUUGCUGCGGAAGGGGGAGAAUGCUGUGACAGCACAGGCGUGCAGCUCUGCUGGAGCUGUCAGGCUUGAUGGACUGAUCCAAAUGGAUGAUAUUUGCAAAAAAUAUGCCCAAGUUAAAAACUCUCAGCGCUCAUGUUCGGGUCAGGUUUUCAAUUUCAGUUUUCUAAGGAGAAUAAAGUUGUUUUGUUAAGGUCAA